rfam:Beta vulgaris subsp. vulgaris chromosome 6, whole genome shotgun sequence.
UCCAUUGUGUUAAUGGGCUACUAUGGGUAGUUUUUAUGGGGGCAUGCCUCCCAAAAGAUAAUGAUGUGUUCAAACUUCAAAGGUUUUUUUUGAGUAGGAUGGAGAUUGGCCCUCAAAUUCAAAGGUAGUAGGGAGCUUGCAUGUAAGACCCACCCGUCGAGGAGGGAUUAAAGUCGGCCUUAGUGAUUUGAUGGCGUCGAGCGGGCCGUUGCAACAUAUGAAAGUUAUGAUGGGGAUAAUAGACUGAUCUUCCAAACGGGUUCACAUUGUCGAGAAGGUUUGGCACAUCGAUAUUGAUUCUUUGUCACAUGGGAUGUAGUAUGCUCCAAGGAUAGGUUGUUCGUAUAUGGUAGUGAUAAGUCAUAUUUAUAUAUAGUUUUUAGGU